GUGCCUUCGGGAACUCUGAGACAGGUGCUGCAUGGCUGUCGUCAGCUCGUGUUGUGAAAUGUUGGGUUAAGUCCCGCAACGAGCGCAACCCUUAUCCUUGUUUGCCAGCGAGUAAUGUCGGGAACUCCAGGGAGACUGCCGGUGAUAAACCGGAGGAAGGUGGGGACGACGUCAAGUCAUCAUGGCCCUUACGAGUAGGGCUACACACGUGCUACAAUGGCGCAUACAGAGGGCAGCCAACUUGCGAAAGUGAGCGAAUCCCAAAAAGUGCGUCGUAGUCCGGAUUGGAGUCUGCAACUCGACUCCAUGAAGUCGGAAUCGCUAGUAAUCGUGGAUCAGAAUGCCACGGUGAAUACGUUCCCGGGCCUUGUACACACCGCCCGUCACACCAUGGGAGUGGGCUGCAAAAGAAGUAGGUAGUUUAACCUUCGGGGGGACGCUUACCACUUUGUGGUUCAUGACUGGGGUGAAGUCGUAACAAGGUAGCGCUAGGGGAACCUGGCGCUGGAUCACCUCCUUA
rnacentral:rRNA from 1 species